GGAGAGGUACCCGAGUUGGCCAAAGGGGACAGACUGUAAAUCUGUUGGCGAUGCCUUCGGAGGUUCGAAUCCUCCCCUCUCCACCA
rnacentral:tRNA from 2 species